rnacentral:rRNA from 1 species
ACGAAGCCGCGAGGUAGAGCAAAUCUCAAAAAGACAUCUCAGUUCAGAUUGCAGGCUGCAACUCGCCUGCAUGAAGUCGGAAUUGCUAGUAAUCGUAGGUCAGCAUACUACGGUGAAUACGUUCCCGGGCCUUGUACACACCGCCCGUCAAACCAUGAGAGUUGGCAACACCCAACGUACGUGAUCUAACCCGCAAGGGAGGAAGCGUCCUAAGGUAGGGUCAGCGAUUGGGGUGAAGUCGUAACAAGGUAAC